AUGAGAGAUGCUCAAAGCCAAAAACCUCAGACUGUAGAGACUCUGACAGCUUGCUGUGUGGAGUUUCCAUCAAGAGAAAAUGAGGAUGAGUCAAACUCUGCAGCUGAAAUGAAGAACGAGGACAAUGAUGACUUUUCCCCUAUUGACUCAUUAUCAGAAGAACAACCAGAAAUUGAUCCUCCAGAGGAGUUCAUAGAAACUUUAGUGAGCCCAAAAGACCCCAGUGAGGGUGAUGCCCCCAAAAGUGAUGAUGAAUGCCAACAAUCUGUUCUGGAAAUGAUAGAAAGCACCAAAAAUGCAUGUCAAGACUUGAUUCUUGUGGAGCAGGAGGGUGGGGUGUGUCAGGAGAAUCACGAGCUUUGGAUUGACCUUGAGGAUGUUGUGUGUGAGGUGAUAGAGGAGAAGGAAAACGAACAGUCUGAGGCUGAAGGUACAGAAGUCAUGAAAGAGGAGGAAGAGGAGGACAGGCAGACAGGAAGUGGUUCAGAAGAGAAAACUGUGAAAGCCCAUGAAGCUGAGACAAACAAGUCUGAGGUUAGAGAAGAAUCUGAGGGAGAAGCUGUGAAGACGCCAGCAGGAAAGUUCACAAACUCAUCAGCAGGUAAAGCAGAAACGGCUAACCAAGAGACGUGCGAUUUGACGGAAGAAGAUGGAGAUCAAAACAGAGAGGGGGAUGUUCAAGAAACAGACAGAGAGAACAAAGAGCUGGAUGGAGAGCCCAGCAGAGCCCAGCAAAGUGCAGAUAAGUCAAUGCCUAAAGAAAACAACGACUCUGGAACGGGUGACAUCAGCACCAGAGGGGUUGGGAGGAAGCUGGUGGUCUCCAAACAACCCAAAGUUUAUCAAGUCAAAGCUGUGCCUGUGGUGCCUCCUAAACCUCAGCACUGCAAAAUCACCGCCUUGACCCUGCGGCAGCAGCAGAAAGAGAGGCUGGAGGCUGACAAAGGGAGGGACGGCCCGCCGAGGGUCCAGCCAGAGCCAGACAGGGAGGCAAGAGAUGGAGCCGAGGAGAGCCUGGAGAGACAGGAGAGGCAGAUAACCCUCAGGGAGAGAAGGAGGGACGGGGCCGACAGAGACGGCAGCAGCAGGAACAGCCCCCUCAGCCUGUGCUUUGAUGAGGCCGUUGCCAUAGCGACCUUGAGACGAGAAAAAGAGCGAGCCCGCGAUGGAGAGGUCGAUGUAGACAGACUGGGAAAAUAA
rnacentral:lncRNA from 1 species